AGGAAUGUAGCUCAGUGGCAGAGUACUUGCCUAGGAUGCACAAGGCCCUGGGUUCAAUCCUCAGCAGUGCCA
rnacentral:tRNA from 1 species